rnacentral:rRNA from 1 species
GACGAACGCUGGCGGCGUGCUUAACACAUGCAAGUCGAGCGGUAAGGCCCUUUCGGGGGUACACGAGCGGCGAACGGGUGAGUAACACGUGGGUGACCUGCCCUCAGCUCUGGGAUAAGCCCGGGAAACUGGGUCUAAUACUGGAUAUGACUCCAUGACGCAUGUUGUGGGGUGGAAAGCCUUGUGCGGCUGGGGAUGGGCCCGCGGCCUAUCAGCUUGUUGGUGGGGUGAUGGCCUACCAAGGCGACGACGGGUAGCCGGCCUGAGAGGGCGACCGGCCACACUGGGACUGAGACACGGCCCAGACUCCUACGGGAGGCAGCAGUGGGGAAUCUUGGACAAUGGGCGAAAGCCUGAUCCAGCGAUGCCGCGUGUGUGAAGAAGGCCUGCGGGUUGUAAAGCACUUUCAGUAGGGAAGAAAGCCGAGUGCCAAUACCACUCGGUCUUGACGUU